UACGGAGGGUGCAAGCGUUGUCCGGAUUUAUUGGGUUUAAAGGGUGCGUAGGCGGCCCGGUAAGUCAGUGGUGAAAGCCUCCAGCUCAACUGGAGAACUGCCAUUGAUACUGCCGGGCUUGAGUACAGACGAGGUUGGCGGAAUUGAUUGUGUAGCGGUGAAAUGCGUAGAUAUCUGGAGGAACACCGGUGGCGAAGGCGGCAUCCUGGACCGGUAUUGACGCUGAGGCGCGAAAGCCAGGGGAGCAAACGGG
rnacentral:rRNA from 1 species